CCUUAGUGAUGACACAAGAUGACGAGGCUGAUUUAUAUCAGGAUGUACAUAUGGGAGUAGUUUUUACUUUCUUUGUAUAUGAAUGGUACAAACGCUGAUGUAACAUCGAGGCAUUUGUCUGAAAGGA
rnacentral:snoRNA from 1 species